rnacentral:lncRNA from 1 species
UUCAACCAAUUUCAAAUUACUUUCUUUCUCCAUCAGAUCUUGAAGAAUAAGUCUGCCGACAUGGUGGUGCACGGCGACUUCCACCGUCACCCCUUCCGCCGCCACCUGUGACCUCCACCCCUUCUGCCGCGACGGUGACGGCGGUGCCCCCUCGAUUCUCCGGCCUCAACCAACCCCCACCUCCUUUUCGUCUCCAGCACCCACACUUCCAUCCAUUUGUCGGGUAAAACGGCCGGCCACCACCGUUUGGUGGUGGCGUACAGCGGCGACGGAGAGAGUUUGGGGAGAGAGAAAGAGGACGGAGGCGGGCCGACGGCAGCGCCGCCGUGAGCGGCGGAGGUCCUGGUCUCCUACCGACGAGUUGAUGCUCGGAUCGACUUUGGAGGUUAUGGGUUUAGUUGGUUAAAGACAAGUUCAUCAGAUUUCUUAGAGGUUAUUGGUGUGUUGAUAUUGAUCUGUUGGUAUUUCUUCUUUUUGGUAUUUCUUUGAAAUUUAUAUAACUUAUCCACCAUUGUACGUUUCAUACAAUACUGUUUACAAUUUUCUUGGCAAUAACUGUAACUCAUACUUUUCCAUUUGGAAAAGAAAUGAUUUGAUCGACCGAUUUAUCCUAAUAAAAAUAAUGGAACUCAUUACAUGAUUUUAUCUCAUUCAUCUGUUGAUGUUGAUCUGUUGGUUUAG